UUACCUGACUUACAUCAAGCUGUCAAUGGCAAUCAAGCGUAAUGAGAGCAUGGCCAAAGGUCUGCAGAGGGCUCUGCUGCAGCAGCAGCCAGAGGAUGACAGCAAGUGCUUCCCCCGGCCCCAGGACCUGAUCUGGCUUUAUGACAUCAUCUUACAGAAUCUGGUGGAAUUGCUCCAGCUUCCUGGUUUAGAGGAAGACAAAGCCUUCCAGAAAGAGAUAGGCCUCAAGAUUCUGGUGUUCAAAGCUUACAGGU
rnacentral:lncRNA from 1 species